GGAAAAUAAUAAAUUAUUCGUAUUCCAACGAUGUCACAGCUAUUAUCAUUAAUUUUUUUUUUACUUUAGUGAGUCCGAUUUCACACUCCUCUGACUGAGUCCUAAACGCUUCGCCUUUUCUCCCCGAACACUCCAUUAAUAAAUUUAAGGGCUGAAAAGAGGGCGUCAAGCGCCCUUCAUGCACAAUGGUACUCUCCGAGACCGAGACCGAGACAUCUCCAACCACGGGAAAGUUAACCUUCCAGCAAGAUGCCCACCCCAAUCGGCCAGAGAAGAGAGGUACCCAGGAUGAAUCAAACUGAACUGCAGGUGGUGGUUCCACAGCACGUGGAGAGAGCCUGCGUGAGAGCAGGACCGUCUCAGAGGACACUAGAUCCAAAAAUGGAGAGAUGCAUACUCCUGAUCGUGUAAGUUAAUGCCUGAAGUUCUCUCCACCGCUGCACAGGAGAACCUUCACCUGGCAGUCUCUAAGUGCCUGUGCCCAAAGAAAAGAAAUAAGGAAGAUCUGAAAGAGGAAAACAGCGGACAGGGACCUGGCUGUACAAUGGACAAUGUGGUUGGGAAGGAGCCACUAUGGAAAGACCUCAGGAACAUGUUGCAAAGCCUGGUUCAAAUGUAAGGCAAGUGGAUCACACAAGGCAGGAGUACCAGGAGACAGAUGUCACCAAGGACCAUAGGACCUGUCACCAAGGCGAGGUAGAUCUUAUACUUACUGCCUAAGGCACC